rnacentral:lncRNA from 1 species
UCGUACAUCUCGGGCCAAGUCACGUCGAGGGUGUUUCCGCUUGCGGAGCGAGGGGGGCCCGGCACCCCCGGGCUCUCGGCUGCUGGCCCCGCGGGGGCUCGCGCGGCGCCAUCGCCUCCAAACGCCGCCUCGCUCCCAGGAGCGAGCGSCUUCCCCGCGCCGUCCCGGCACGCGUCUCCCUGCGGAGCAGCCGCUCCUCUGGCGAGAACCGGCGGCGCAGCGUCACGUAGGCCCGCGUCCGCAGCCGGCCCGGCCUCGGAGCGCUUCGUCACCCUCCCCUUCGCCGGGAGCCGCAGCCCUGUCUCCUCYGCCUCCUGCUCCGCGGCGGCGCUCGCGGUGGGAGCUGCCUCCUCUGCUCCAGGGCCGGGCGCCGGCCUUCUGCUCUGCCCUGCCUCCUCGCUCCCCGGCUUCCCGGGAGCCGGCUUCACUGCCUUCUCCUUCCCUCUGCUCUUCCGUGACGGCAGUGGCGAGGACAGCGGCGCCUCAGCGGGCGCCAGGCCCCCCUGUGCCACGGCGCCCGCGGGCUCCCGCUCCUCUCGGGCGACCUCGGCGGCGCUCGCUCCGCGUUGCUUGCGGCUCCUCCUCGGCUGCGCCGGCGUCUUGGGCCUCACGACCUCCAGGGAGGCGCUGGCAGGGCCCGGCUCGGCGCAGGCCCCCUCCCCGCCCGGCGCCCCGGGAGCAGCCUGCGGCGACGCCUCCGGGGCAGGCCGCGGGGCGAGCUCGCUCGCGGAGCUCUUCCCUGCCGAGGCGUCCAGGGAGGCCGGCGACGCCGGAGAGCCGCCGUGCUCCGGUGGGCCGUGCCGCGCUGCUGCCGGGCUGCCUGGGGGCUGCUCCCCUCCGGCGCCCCCGUCCCGGGCAGGGCCGCUGCCUGCAGCGAGGGCGCGAGGCUCCGUGGCCUGGCUGCUGCUCGCUGCCCCUGCCUCCGAGGCGGACGGCAGCGCUGCCGGGUCGCGGGCUGCCUCCUGCCCCGGGCUGCUCGCAGCCGCGCCGCCAGCCGGGCCGGCCAGGGCAGCUGCGGGGGUGCGGGGCAGCUGCCUCCCCUGCGUGCUGGGCAUCGGCAGCGCGGAGCGAGGGCCGCCGGGCUCGCCGCCCUCACGCCGAAACCCGCUGACCGAGCCCGGCUCCGUCCCGUCCUCGCUGCCCGGGAGCACCUGCGGCGGGGCGAGGUGCCCGCCGGCGGGCCGGCGCGGGGAGGCGUCUCCGGGGAGGCCACGUGGGGGAGAGCUCCCGGCGCCAGGCCCUGGCCCGCUGCCCGCCCUCGCUGCGGUCUGCCCGCUGGCGCCGGCGCGGCAGUCCCCUCCGGGCACGCCGUCCCCUUGA